ACAGUUCAGUCACAUAAUUGCCUCUUUAAGUGUCCUGAUAUUAUAUCCUUCACUUUAUGAAGUGAACACUUGACACAUUUCUGAAAAUAUAUAUAAAGACAAUUCAAUUGCUGUAAACAUACGUUCAAGAAUAUUGAAGACAAUACGUUCUUCAGGAUGAAAGCAAUCAUUUUAACACUUUCAGUGGGACUAUUUUUGAACGGCUGUGCAGGAUGCCCGGCUUUCUUACAGAGUAAUCAGUGCUUCUGCGCCUGCUAUGACCUGUUAACAGAUUGCCAGGAGAGAUGUGAUAGAAUGUCCGGCUACGCGCGUUCUAGGUGCCGGAGUUCGUGUUCAUACGGCUACCAAAUCUGCAGUAGGAGCUGCCUGACUCCUUCAUACUGAGUGUUCAUAAACAGAAAAUCUGUUCAAAGAACUUAAUGGUUAUAAAUAUCAAUAGCAAAUUAUAUGAAUCUUUGACAUAAGAUUUAAAGACUUUGAAUAAAGUCUUUACAAUUCAAAUGGGUUUAUUUUCUGCCUUUUUAGUAUUUCUCUUUGUCAAAAUUAACUGAAAAGAUCAGAAAGGUUUUUCAACAACAAUCCAGAGCUUGAUAUGUCAGUUUAAACAGGGCUAUUUCCACUCAAAAGUGCAGACCUUACAAAAAACUUUCAGAUUUCUACAAUUGAUGAAUAUGGUUGAGCUCUUUUUCGCAAUUCAGAGAAACGUACUUAAUAUUUCAUAGCUAGUUUUGAUGAUCAAAUUAAAUAAAAGGGAGGAUUUUCUAGGAUCUGAACCCCUGACACAAAGUCCAUGAAUUUCGCAUUUUUUUUUUUUUUUUUUUUUUUUUUGCAUUUGUAGCAGAAGAGUGUAAGAAGGACAUACCUUAUACUUUUCACACAGAUUUUUGUACCUAUG